AGCAGUCUUGGCAGCUGAUACUGUGACUCAGACUAGGAUGAGGUAGUUGAGAUGGAGUGCUCUGAACAAUCACAUACAAGUCAUUUGUCCAUGGCCUCCUCUUCUGUAACUAUUUAUAUUUUCAGAAUCUUUUCAAAGGUCUUUUGGGUAAUAAUGGCAAUCCACUUUUCCCAUCAAAUACCAGCACACUUUCUGCCAAUACUAUUAUUUCUUCCAUUUUGAUAAUUAGAUUUAAAACAAUUCUCUUAAUAGAUUUAAAAUAAUGACACUGAGUAGAAUUGUUCAGAAGUGUUUUGAAACAUAUAUUUUGCCAUUAAGAUGUCUGAGGUCUUACUAAGAACUUUCAAUGUAUGCUUAUUUAAUUAUCUUUGGAAGUAUGCAAUUCAGUGAGAAAUGUUUUCUGGGCCAUAUACUCAACUUCACUUCUCUGCUCCAUUAGUCUUCAUUAAAUCACCUCAAAGUUUCCUAUUAUUUCCUUACCAAAGACUAACAUUUUUAACAAAAGACAUUUACAAACUGUGUUUUCUUUUGUUCUGGUUUUUUGCACAGGAUAUGGUAGAAUUCUAUUCAUGUCAACAUGAAAUUUGUAUCUGUCCCUGCCAGGAAGAUAUUUGCAAUACACAUGAUCACAGAGAUGCAAGUGUAGUGACCAUUUCAAGCAUAAGUAAAAUACCACCAAGUCAUAUCAUCCAUGGAUUUUUUUUUCAUCCAUGGAUUUUAUGGUGAAUUCAGUCCAAGAGGCCUGCAUUAGCUCUUACUCGAUUUUUUAAUUAAUUCAAUUUUUAAGGAUCAAAUAAGAUUUGUUACACUUACUAACUCAUAUUACAGUUGUUUUUAAGAAGAAAUUUAAAGUUUAUUAGACCUACUUAAAUUGGAACAGGUCUCAAAUUUGAUUUUUAAGUUUGACUUGUCAAGCAAAAACCUGUUAAACCAAAAUACCUGCCAGAUACUGUCUUAUUUUUAUCAGAUGAAAACAAUACUUUGAGUAAUCAAAAUCAGAAAUAAUAUCAUUUAUCUGAUAUAACAUAAAUUAUGAAGUAACAACCAAUGGUAAGUUGGGAUAAAAAAUGGAAAAUAGGUUAAAGGUAAGCCAUAUGUGGAGAAUUUGUCCUUUAUAUCUACUUUUAAAUUUCUUCAAGUAAAAAUCAACUGACUUUCCCCCUGACUUCUAUGUUUGAAAAUCAGGAAUAGACUAUAUUUUUCAAAAUGUAAAAAAGAUGACUACUGUACAAUUAUAUGACAGAAAUAUAAACAGAAUAUAAAUGUGGGGUUUUUUCAUGCUGUGCCACUUAUUUUGAGAAAGAUUAUUACAUGUAUAAGCAUCUCAGCUUUAAAAUGUGCUCUCAUGUAUACAUUUAUAUGUCACUCUGAUCCCAAUGUAUAAAAAAAGGAUGACUACUACUUAUUUAAUAUCAAUAUUUUAAGAAAAUCAAGGCAAAAAUGUCCCGAUCUCCAUUGCUUCAAGUAGUGUGGAGAAUUCAUUACAUUCAAAACCAGGCUAAAUAGUUACAGAUAUACAAAGUAUCUGGCAUUUGUAAGUGGCUUCACUGAUUCCUCCUGCUCUUCAGAACCCUAUUUUCUGUAUUUUGUACACUGUGAAAUUAUUCUGUUUUCUAUUACCUGUAGCACAGGUGUAAUUCUGAUGAUCUGAUCCAGAGAAUCACUACUGAAACCACUGGCCCAGUCAAUGGAAGAACCAGGUCCUUUUCAUGGAAAAAACAAGAGAAAAAAUAAAUAGAAAUAGAAAAAACAAUACUAAAAUUUAUGUUGAACUACAAAUGACCUUGAAUACUUAGGCAAAUUUUGAGCAAAACAACAAAGCUGGAAAUGUCAUACUUGACCUUAAAAUCUUUUACAAAGCUAUGGUAAUCAAAAAAACCAAACAAACAUGGAACUAGCAUAAAAACAGUCACAUCAACCAAUGGUGCAGGAUAGAAAACUCAAAAAUUAACACUCAUUUAGAGUCAAUUAAUUUUCAGCUAGAGUGCAAAGAACACACAAUCAAGAAGAAUGAGUAUCCUCAGUCAGCACUAUGAGGGAAAACAGGGUAGCCACAAGCUGAGGAAAGAAAUUGGACCCUGUCUCACACCAUAUACAAAAAUCAACUCAAAAUGGCUUUAAAAUUUAAACAUGAAACUACUAGAAGAAAACAUAAGAUAGAUACACUUCAACAUAGGUCUAGGCAGAGGUUUCUUAGAUAAAUCCUCAGAAGCACAGAGACCACAUGUAAAAAUGAACAAAUGGGGUUGUAUCAAACUAAAAAGCAUCUACAUGGCAAAGGAAAUAUGGAAUGAAAGGACAUGGAUGCAAAGAAAAUAUUUGCAAGUCAUACAUCUGAUGAGAGCUAAUGUCCAAAACAUAUAAGGAACUCAAACAAUUCAGUAGCCCAAAACAACUAACCCAGUGAAAAACUGGCCAAAGACCUAAACAGACAUUUUUCAAAACAAGACAAAUAUCCAACAGAUGCAAGAAAAAAUUCUUAUCAUCAGUAAUUAUUGGGGAAAUGGAAAUUAAAACCACAUUGAGGUCUAUCAGUUCAUACCUGGUAGAAGGUCUACCAUUAAAGACAAAAGAUAGCAAGUGUUGGAAAGAUGUAAAAAGAAUACUUGUGCACUGUUGGAAAUGUUAACAAUACAGCCAUUAUGGAAAAUAGUAUGGAGGUUCCUCAGAACAUUGUAAAGUCAACCCUACUUCCAGGUAUUGAAAACAAUAUUCCAAAUAAAUACAUGCAUUUCCAUAAACACUGAAGCAUUAUUUAGAUACAUCCUUACAUAGCUGAGAUAUGGACACAACCUAGGUGUCUGUAUCAGUCAGUGUUUACUAGAGAAUCAGAUAUAACACAAGAUAUACAUACAUGAAUUUAUAAGAUUGGCUUAUAAUGGCCACCCACAGAGUCAGAUGUCUGUCUGACUGCACACUGGAGACUGAAGGAUUUAAAGGUUUGGAGCUCACUAAAGUGUCCCAUAUGAGUUGGUAUAAGGAGGCUGAUUGGUCUGUGGUGUAGGGCUGAAGAGUGCAUGGGAAGCUGAAGAGCCAGGAGAGGGAACAAAGGAGAUGUUGAAGGUGAAGACUGGAGCUCCUCCAAAGAAACAGAACCAGAUCCAUCCUUCUUCAUUUCCCCUUUAUACAAUCCAGCUGACAAGCUACCCUAGGGUGAGUCUUCCACACUCUAGGGUGUGGAAUUGCUGAGCCAAUUUAGUUGGGCUUCUCUUUCUCAAAUUGACAAACUCAACCAUCACAGUGUCUAUCAUCAGAUGAGUGAGUAAAGAACACAUAUAGUAUUUAUAGUCAAUAGAGUAUUGUUUAGCUUUAAAAGGGGGAAAUUCUGUCUUUUGCAAGAAAAUGGAUGAACCCAGAGGACAGAAUGCUAAGUAAAAUAAGGCAGGCACAGAAAGAAAAAUGUCUCAUGAUCUCAUUUAUAUGAGGAAUCUAAACAAGUUGAACUCAGAAGUAGAUGGUAGAGGCAGGAAAGGUGGUACAUGCCUGUAAUCCCAGAACUGGGGAGGGAGAGGCAGAAGGAUUAUCAGAUUACCAUGAAUUGAAGGCCAGCCUGGGCUAUAUAGUGAGCUCGAGGCCAGUGUGAACUACACCAAGAGACCUUGUCUCAAAAAACCAAACUAAACAAAGAAGUAGAGGGUAGAGUAGUGCUUACCAGAGGCUGGAGAAGGAGUGGAUAAUAAACACUCAUGAAAGCAUAUAAAGGUUCACUUAGACAAGAGCAAUUAAUUUAGUGAUCUACUGCACAGAAUGGUUACUAUGUGGUUAUGCUUUGUAUAUUUCAAAGCAGCUAAAAAGUAAAUUUUCAAUGUUCUCACCACGCAAAAGAAAUGUAAGUAUGUGAGGUGAUGGAUUUGUUAGUCUGAUUUAAUCAUCCCACAGUAUAAACAUCACAGAUGCCCCAUAAAUACAUGUAAUUACUGUCAAUUAAAAAUAAAAAUUUCAAAAAUUAUUACUUAAAAUUCUAAAUAAUAAAAGUACCACUUUGUAUCACUUGAGUUGAGGAGACUAGGGGAAAAUUCAUUUUCUUGCCUUUUCCUACUUCUAAAGACUGACCAAAUUUUUUGCCUUAUUGUCCUUUCCACCAGUGGAAUAAAACAUUGAGAUAGCAAGGGAAAGACAGAGAGAGAGAACUUGUUUUAUAUAACCUCAUGCUCAUAUACUGACUAAAAACUUGAUUAUUAAAAUUGAACAAUAUAAGCCAUAUGGCUUAUGCUAGUAAAUGUAGAUCUACAUUUGAAAUAACUGUAGUGUUUUGUACAUAGUUAUACAAUAGUUUAAUCAGUUUCUUAUGGGUGGGCAUUAAGAUCAUUAAAUUUCUUGUACCUUAUUGAAUUUAAUUGUUAAUAUUUUGUUGAGAAUUCUUAUUAUCUUUGUUCAUGGAAAAUAUUGGUCUGUGAAUUUCUUUAUUUUCUUGUAUUAUCUCAUUGUGUUAUUAGGGUAACUCUGGACAUACAGAAUGAAUUUGGAAAUAUUUUCUCUGCUUUUAUCUUCAUAAAAAGAUAGUAGAGAAUUUUUAUAAUUUCUUCCUUAAAUGUUUAGUAGAAUUUUUCAGUGAAUCUUGUCUAGGCUGGUGCUUCCUGUUUUGGAAGUUUACUAAUUUUUUAUUCAAUUUCUUUUAUAAAGAUAGACCUACUGAGAUUAUCUAUUUCUUUUUGCAUGAAGUUUUUUCUUCUUGCAGGCUGUUUUCAAAGAAUUAGUCCAUUUCAUCUAGUUUAUCAAAAUUUUAAAUAUAGAGUCAUACAUAACAUUCUUUUAUUAUCCUUUUAAUGUCCGUUGGAGUUGAGUGAUGUCCCCUCUUUCAUUUCUGAUAUUAAUAAUUAGUAUCCUUUUUCUUCUUGUGUGCUAGACUUGCUAGAAGCUUAUUAAUUUUAUUGAUCCUUUCAAAUAACCAAGUGUUGGUUUCACUGAUUUUCUGAAUUAAUUUCUUAUUUUCAAUGUCAUUCAUUUCUGCUCCACUAAUUUCUAUUAUUUCUUUUCUUCUGCUUACUUUGUAUUUAUUUUUUUUCCUAGUUUCCUAAAAUGGAAACUUAGAUUAUUAUUCUUAAAUUUUUCUUUUCUAACAUACACAUUCAUCAUUAUAAAUUUCCCUCUAAGCACCACUUUUACUGGAUCUCACAUAUUUUUGUGUAGUUAAAAGUAUUUUUUAAUUUGGUUUCAGAUUUUUUUUUGACCCGUUCUCCUUAUUCUUUUCAUUACAAUAGACCUGACUGGAUCAUUCCCAAUAAUCUUUCUAUUUUAACUUCAACGGAUUAGCAGCCAUGGUUUCAUCUUCAAACUUAAUUUUCCUUUGACACAUAAUCUAACAUAUUUACAAAGUGUGGCUAUUAGGACAUGGGUGCAUUUAAGGUAUAAGGAGGCACUAUUCUGCCUACCACAAUGGCUCAUGUAAGAGCUAGCCGAGUGAUUUGACCCAAAUAACUCACACAAGGAUGGAAAAAAGGCUUUUGUUUAAUGAAUGAAUUGUUAAUCCCUUAAAUUAUAAAUCACAGUUCUGGGAGAAAUCAGGAGCACACUCAGUGCAGAUGGUUCCUCCCAGAAGGUAUUUCAGUGGCCCAUAUUUUGGACGCUCAGGGUCCUCUCAGCUGCUGCUGUAUCUCUUAGGCCUACUGCACCUUGGGACAGAUAAGAGCUCCAAGACUCUGAGUCUCAUUCCCUUGGGAAAUGUGACUUCAUGAUAAUAAUUUUAAUUAAUGAAAAAAUCAAUAUGUAGACAUCUGUCACUUAUUGGUGUCUGUCACUUUUAGGAUGUUAUUUCAUCUAAGACUAAGUAAAAUAGUUUGUUGUGAAGAUUAAUGAGAAAAAAAAUAAUGUGUAAGACCCUUGGCAAAAUAUGAGGCAAUUAAGAAACUAUGCACUAAGUUCAGCUAUUUAAUUUUAAUUUUAAUGUUUCAGUAUAUUUUGCAGUACACGACGAUUACAUCCAUUUUGAGGAAUUGGUACAUGUGUAUGACACAUCUUAAUUCUCUCUUGUCAUUUCCUUCCCCUCCCUCUCCUCUCCCUCCAUCUCUUGGUCACCUUGCCUUUUGCAAAAGAACAAAAAGGUUUUGUUAGUAAUAGCAGUAAUAAUAGAAGUAGCAGUGUAAUGGUGAAAAUGUUAAUGGCUCACAAAGUUUUAUACAAUAGCCUGUAAGAUGACUCCUGAAGAGGAGCACAGUGGCCUAGCUCAUGGAUUUCAGUCUACUUUGUAAGAUGUAGUGGGGUUUCUAGCCUGUCUCUAGAAGAUAUGGCAGCUGGAGUGUUGAUGCAGACAGAACAAUUUUUGUUAAAACCUAUUUUGUAUGUGAUUUUUGGCAUUCACUGAAAUAAAACAGUACUAGGUGCCCUGAGAGUUGUAAUAUAAAUGUUAUUUAUGUUUUGCCUUCAUGAAGAGAAGUAGAAUCAUCUGGAAAUGGCCCUUGAGGGAAAGCGACUUGAUCAAACAUCUGAUAGUCACAAAUUUGAAAACGUGCUUCAGAAUCCCAGCACAUAGUAAAAGACAAUACUAAUAAUUAUACCUGUCAAGAAGCUGUGAACACAUGGUGUAUAAAUUCUUUACCAAGGCAACUCGACACCUCCUUUCUCUGGUCCCGUACCCCCCUGCUCAUGCGCUCUUUACACACACCGACUUUCCAUCCACUGCAGUGGGAAUUUCCAGUGUGGAAAGGGAGAGACUUUCCAGUCCACAGCCUGAAACAGGAUAAGAAGAAAAGUCUGACUUUUGAAUAAAUCACCGCCGGGGUCAGGAUUAGGUCAAUCUUUGGUGUCUGGAUUUUCCAGAGAAUAACAACCCUCUCCUUGUGCUGUAGUUCAAACUGCAUCAGUUCAAGGUUGCUGCUCCUAUACAUUGCCCCUCCUCUAACCUGUUCCACAACCCCCAUUGCUGAGUUAUCUGAAUUGGAAUUCCAAUUAACUGAAAAUUCAGCAUCUAAUCUCCUUUUGAAAAUGGCAAUUUACUAUUAUGUACUCUUUUCAGGCUCUAGGAAUUGGGUUCUUAUUUUCUGUUCUCAUGAAUUUUAAUGCAUUAACUGAAUGGUAAAUUUUCAGCUCAACUUUUAGUUUAUUAGAAGCAAGAGUAGGAACCUAGUACUGUACUUUUUAAUUUAAAUAUUGCUUGCAUCUAUUAUUAUACAGCCUAACAGAAUAUAAUGUAUAUUUAUUCCACAAAAUAUAUAUUAUCAGAGUACAUUUGUGAUAACUUAGAGUCUUUCCUUACCAAGAAUUAUGGCUCUGGUAAGAGAAUACUAGCAAAGGACCUACCUUCAUGAACUGAUCAUAUAUAUACAUACAUAUAUAUGUGUGUGUAUGUAUGUGUAUAUAAUCUCAAUUUUUCUUAAGUUUUAUAUUUUUUGAUUGAUACACUCUGGAGAAAUCUAAACUUCUGUAUACAUUGGUAUUCUGUCAUAGAUGUCUAUUUGACAUUUGAAAGCUUUGGUCUUAACAGCUCUCUCUCUCUCUAUAUAUAUGUUUAUGUAUGUAUAUAUAAUUUCUUUCAAAAAUAGACAUAUGUAAGCCAGUGAUAUCAAUUUUGUGACUGACAAAUGCUUUCCUCUAGAAGGAAAAGAUACUUCAUUUCACAUAUUCCUGUAGGUAAAUGGAGAAGGAAAUAUCUUUGGAAAGAUCUAUUAGAGUCACGUAUGCAAAUCAUAAUUUUUUACCUACAGUAAAUCUAGGCACUUAAUCUGGUUUUAAUUUAUGGAAUUACUAGGAAGUAAUAAUAAGGGGGCACUUGAACAACUUAAGCACAAAAAUGUACCUAAGAGAAGAAUAAUUGCCCAGCUGAAAUUAUCUAGAUAGAUCAUUAAGCAGAGGCACAUAUUUCAAUAUUCUCUUUUCUCAGAUACAAACAUUGAUUUCCCAAUGUAGAAUAAUUUUAAUACUUCAGAUAGUCUCCCCCUAAAUAGAAAUUUAUGAAACCAAGUUUAGAGACCAUCUUUUUGAAAAUAUAACAAGACCAACAGAAUUACUCAGCACAUUUUAUUUUACCGUUAUGGUGUUAUUGUCAAUACCCAGUUUUCACUCUUCAUAGUGCAUCACUUACCAGGCAACAAACAGCAAGGAGACUGGGGAGUAUGACAGUGUCUUGCUGUGAUAAGAGGUUUCCAGCCUCGAGAACAUAAUCAUAUUUUACUAGAGAGAGGUGGGGAUAUGGGUGGGGCAGUGAGGACCCUGAAUGUUAUGUAAAAUAAGUUUACAAAAAAGACAAGCAUGACAUAGGGCAUAAAUGGAGACAAUAUGAGUGUUAUGCAGUUUGAAAGAUAGUUCUCAUUUUUAUAAGAAAAAUUUAAUAAAACAUAUAUUUUAGUUAUCGUUUAUCAAAGAAGUAUUAGAGGUAUUCAAGCAGUACCACAAGAUUCUCAUAAAAGGAAAUCAUAGCACCCUUAAAAUAAGAUAAUAGUUCUCUCAACACAUUUCAAUACAUUGUAUUAAUUUGGAGCUUAAGGUAAGUAUGUUAUUGUUUAGCUGUUAAAUGUUCAGAUAAUAUGAACUUUUAUAGUUUCACAUCAAUAUCAUCAUGACAUUACAGAAGCAACUAUCAAAUGAGCAGAUCCCUUAAAUUUCAGUUUUCUAGAAGUUUUGUAUUUUUAUGCUUCUUUUGCAUAAUGUUCAGUGCUGAUAAAUGUCUGCCAGGUUGUUUGUCAAACCAAAGGACCAAUCCAUCAUAUCUAUGGAAUCUAAGAUUACAGUAUAUGUCACAUUGGUCUUACAAACAAAGACUAAAACUGAAUUUGUUAAAAUGUAAACCUUCCCCUGAAUUUUUAAUGAAAAGUAAUCAUCCCUAGACUUACAGAGGCCAUUUGUGGUUCUCUUAGUUUCACGGAAAUCAAAGGGAAUGAAAAAAAUUACUAUAAUCUGUACUCGAGCUCUUUAUUACUAAUGAUCACAUUACAGCCACUAACAUACCCUAAGUCAUACUCUUUCUUAAAAAAGACUACUCUCCUUUGAAGCUCAAUCCUCAAUAUAAUAAACAAAUUAGGUAUUAAAAAUUAGAGGGAAGAUUUGUUGUGACUUCUCAAGGAUCCUGGUGAAUUUUAGUUCCUUCCCUUGAUCAAGCUGGUGACCAGUGGAACAGAUUUGUUUAAACCUUUCUCUGCUAUGAUUUUAAAAGCAGAUACACAAACCAUAGUUCUGUAAAACAGUUCCCGAAUCUUUUCAUUGUUGCAUUUACAUUUUGAUUCUGUUGCCAUAUGGACUAGAACAUCCACAGGGAGAUAAUGAGUUUAAAUUGCAAUUGACUUUGGAAAGAAUAACAGACUUUUGUGCUUCCUCAAUCAUGUAAUCAAUCGGGAAUUCUCUAGUUAUAUGAACUACCCCUAUCUUUUAAGACAAUGCUAAAAUCUAAAUGCAAAAUCUAACAUUCGGGGGCCUUUUAAGGAUUUGAAGCUUCUGUGAACUUUGCUAGAGAAGGAUUAUACCAAUUUACAAAUGCAGUUUUCAACUGUAAUCUUAUCUCAUUUCAGUUUAUUCAGCUGUACAUAUAGCACUCGAAGACAUAGGAUAUUUUGUCUACAUUACUUUAAACAUCUGUAGAUGUUUAACAUUUGUGGAUGUGUGAAUAAUGCCUGAAUUUCUCAUCUUUCAGAUAGCUGUCCUUACACAUAGGCUUUAAGUAAGACCAACAUUAGACAACAUUGUAAAGUAGCGAUCAACAUUCUGAAGAUUCAAAGAGGCCAGUACAGAGUAAGGUAUUCCAAAACAGGAGAUGGCCCUACUGCUCUUGUCCCUCUCUAGACCACAAGCUCUAUGAGACAAAAGGGGCUGUGACCACCAUGUUGAUUACUUGGCACAAUAUAGAUACUCAAGGAAUAUUUGUUAAAUGAAUGAUUAAAGAGGUGGAUAAAGAAAUGAGUACAUUUGCCUUCUGAUAAUUUCAUUACCUUCUUAGUGUAUCAAUUGGCACUAUAAUUUCUAAAUAUCAUUAGAAUAAGAAUUGACUCUUCAUACUUUUUAGAUAUGUGAAUUUGGAAUCAAAUUACUUCAAAGGCUUUAAGGGCAUUUAAAUAAGGAACAGUGUUCAUGAAUUCAGAUUUUGAUGAUGAAUAAAAUUAAACCUAUUUCUUUAUGAAAGCACUUUGAAUUAUUUGGCAGGGAUUAUCCAAAAAGGAAACUCCAUUUCUAAAUUUUAUAAAACAUUAUGUUUAGAUUUUAAAAAGGAAGAAGAAAAAGAAAGAAGAGUCCCAUCAUCCAGCAUUAUGAUUUGUGUCCGAUUAAAUAUUUAUUAACAACGUUUCUCUAAAAAAUUCUGAGUCAUUGUAGUCACCAUUCCUAAACUUUCUUCUUUUAAGGAUUACUCUUUUCGUAUUUGAUUCUUAGAAUUUACCUGAGCUAAAAAAAAUCCACAUAUUCAUUCAACAAAUAUUUCUUGUGUACCUGAUACAUGUUAGGUUCUGGAAAUGCAGUGAGAAAGAAGAGUGACAUAGUGCUAUCAUGGAGCUUAUCAUGAGAGAACUCCACUCUGAACUCUAGCCAUAGCUAGUUUACUGUCCACUGAGUCCCUGCUAGAAGAGAAAAAUUCUUCACCCCAUGGAAAUUAUGAAAAACUCCUUUUUCUAAACAUACCACUCAAAACUGAUGCUUAUUUUAUCCAUAAAGCACAAUUAUAAUCCAAUGAGGUUGGUAUAUAAUAAUUUGUUCAUGACAUGUAUCUAGCUUUUACUAUGUUGUAGCUACUAUGCUCAGUGUUUUCAUGGACGAUCUCAUCAAAUCUCAUCUAAAACCCUAUGCAGUAGGUUCCAUUCUACACACAAGAAAACUGAAACACAGCUAUGUUAUGUGACUUGUCCAAGGUCACACUGCUAGCAGGUGGAAAUGCAGUCUGACAUGAGAGCUCAUAUGCAUAAUUGUUGUCUCUGGCUUUGGAGGACAGUACUCCAUGAGACUGAAUAAGUCAUUAAAAUAAAUGAGUUAUUGUACAUAAAAAUACUUUGAAAUUAUAAAGUAGCAUGCAAAUGAUAUUAGAAAACUAUUACUCGUAUCACAUCAGUGACAAAAACAGAACUCAAUCUUAUUUUACAGCUUAUUCAUGAAGAAUACUUAAGUGAGGAACAUGGGAAAAAGGAAAGAUCCAGAAAAUUUCUGACAUGUAGUAAAUAUUUCAGUGAUUUUUCAGAAUGAUUUAUUGUUAGUCACUGUGUCUAUUUGGUGCUACAAAAACAAAGAAACAAAAUCCCUGCUCUAAGGGCUUAUAAUAAAUACACAGUGUGGAGAUGAACCAAGGCUGUUUCACACUUCCGUGGAAGUACUGGGCAGUUUGUUGUACCAUUUUUUCAUCAUUGCAUGUACAUCAUGUCUUUCCAGUUGUUUUCAUUAUUUUUCUGAAAGAGCUACAAAAUUGUGCAGUGGUUCAACCUGACCAAAGUGGUAUUAUGCUGCUGGGAAGUAAAAGUAUUAGACACCAGAUUGGAAAUAUUGUUUUUAUUAUCAAUAUACAGAGGAAUUUUUAGAUGCUGUAGCCCCUAUCUGGAUGCUAAGUUUCUUGUGUUUCUCCAUUCCAGACCACACAGUGAGAUCAUUCUCUCUAUGGGAAGGUUCUGAAAAAGAAAAAAAGAAAUUCUUGUCUACUUUCCACUUUCACAUUUGAAACACUUCUGUGACCACACUGUGGGGAGAGGGAGAAAUUGUUAAAGUGGUUACCAAAGAGGAAUCUUAUAAAUCUUAGAAUUCAGUUCUGGCGUUACCUGCCUCAUGUCUUCAGUUUUUCCCAUAAAUUGCUGCUAGAUAUCUUCCUCUGAAGUUAUCCUUUUGCUCAGAAUCCUCCAAAGGGUUCCACAUGCCAAAAAACAAACAAGCAAGAAAAACCCUACAAAUUUUCAGAUUCCUGGUUAUUGCUGUGUUAGUUAUGAUGUCAGAGAGAGAGAAUGUUCUAGUGCUCUGCUAUCCCCAAGUGUGAAUAAUUACAGAACAUGAAAUGGGACAGAAUUGAAAUCCGGUACAUGGACUGUGAAGUCAAAGUUCCAUGACUCUGAAAAAAAUCACAGUUUUUUCUUUAACAUGAACUCAAAUGCAAAGAUAAAUUUAGUAGUGCUCUAUGGUGAAGACUAUAUCAGAUGGUGACCCACGAACUCUAUAGUAUUUGCUUGGAAAGUAGUGUGUGUGUGUGUGUGUGUGUGUGUGUGUGUGUGUGUGUGUGAGAGAGAGAGAGGGAGAAGACAGUAUGUAGAAAUGGGCUAACACAGUGACAUUAAGGAGUGGUGUGGCAUGAAGUUUUUCUCUACCUUAUGACAUUGUUUUGCUGCCUUACUUUACCUUACAGACCAUUGUCCACCACUAUUCCUGAAACCUGUCCCAAACUUUCCUUCCUCCAACUUUUUUUUUUUUUUUUUUUUUUGUACUGGGGAUCGAACUCGGGUCCUUGAGCUUGUGAGGCAGGUGGCGGAACCACUGAGCUAAAUCCCUGGCCCACCAACUUUUUGAUUAUUCUUGAAAUGCCUCUUUCCUUCCUCCAGAAAAACAAAAAAAACAAAAACUUCAACCCUUAAGGCCCAUUUCUAAUUAUCCUAAACUUAUCACUAUCUGUGUCAUCAAACCUCUUUAUGAUGUAUGUAUCCCUUUUUAGCUCUUUCUUAGCUUCUCUUAUGGUAGAGAUGUUUGUGAAUUUAUCAUCUUAAUUUCCUCUGCAGUUUGUCAUUUCCUAUGUGGUUGGUUAAAAUUUCUUCAAAGGAGUCACUUUUCACUUGUCAACUUCACAGAAUAGCUACUAGAUUAUUCUGCAUUUAUUUAAAUUCUCUAUAUUUCACCUACAAAUAUCAUUUGAAUUGAGAAUUCAGCUCCAAACACUUUUUAAAAAGAAAAGAGCUUUAAUUACAGUGGACCCUUGACUUAGGAACACAAUUUGUUCAUGAGGAGUGGUUGUAACUCAAUUGAAGGCUCAGGCUCCUCCACAGAGCCUUCAAAAUCUCUCCUGUGUACAGGCAGAUCUCAGUGUCCUUAGAGAAACCUUGGCCAGGGAUUUCUCAACCCCACACAGGAAAGGAUGUAAUGUUCCUUUCAGAACUCUUUAAGGGUUACAUCUGUAUCUGAGACCAACUGGAAGCACAAGUGACCAGCAUUCAGGCUGUAACUGAAGACAUUGGUAGUAAGUUAAAACUAAAAUUUCAGUCAUAACCCAAGUUGUUUGUAUGUCAGGCCAGUUGUAACUUGAGGGUCCACUGUAUUGAACGUUUAAUUAAAAGCUAAAUCUGGUAAUAUUUAUGUCUUAUUCACUAGGUUUUUCUGACCUGAUUUUUAUACCGUGAAUGAAUACAGAGGUUGGUGUACAUAUUUUAGAUGACCAUUACCAUCCCUCCCCACAUAUACAAUGACUGCUACAGAUAGAUAUUUGGUUCCUUAUUCCAUGGGAGAAAUUCUAUAGGGUAGAAGUGGGUUUCAAAUCAGCAACUGAAGAAGUAGGAUGGGCAUCACAAAAUCACUUCCCUUUAGACUUGAGUUCUCUAUUAAUAGUCUUAACUAUUGCUGCUGUGCAUCAAAAAAAAAAAAGAUCAAUUUACCAAUUUACUCUUCUUUAGUCUUCCUUUGCUCGCAAAUUUAUUCAACAGACUUAGGGAAUUGUGAGACUAAUUACUAUUGUCAUAACUGCUACAGCUUAUACAGGAAGAUAAAAGUCAGUAAUAAAGGUCAAAAUAUUUAUUCAAUCUUAGUCCACACUGUUUUCUGUUGUGCUGUUAUCACCGUUUAUAUCUGGAUAUCCCUCCCCCAAAGCCUUUUGUGAGCAAAGGUGGGACUUUGGGCGGGGGAAGGUGAUUGGGUAAUGGAAGCUUGUAGCUGGCUUGCUGUCAGGUGGUGGGGUCUGGCCAGAAGAGAUGGGUCACUGAGGACAGGGUUUAGAAGGGUUCAUCUCCCUCCCCACCUCCUUUCUUAGUGCUCUGCUUCCUAGCCAGUAUGCUGUAAACAGCUCUUCUUCACCACGCUCCUCCGCCUUACCAUCUUACCUUGCAGCCAGCCAAACAUGCAAGGGCUGAAACUUCUGAAAUGUGAGCCAAAAUAAACCUCCUUUAAGUUGUAGGUGUUGGGUAUUGUGGCCGAGCAACAAGGAAGGCAGUUACCAACACAAAGUUUUUUGUUUUUAACCUUUGUAUGCUGCUAUACUUUGGAUCUCAAAUGUCCCCUGAAGUUUCUUGUGGUAAAGACUUGUUUGCCAACAUGGCACUAUUGGAAGGUGAUGAGGUCUAGUGAGAGGUUUUCAGGUGGUCAGGACAAUGCCCUUAAGGAAGAUAGUGCAACCCCAGCCCCUUGCUCUCCCUAUCAUUCACUCCCUCGCCAUGAGUGGUCUUGCUCCACCAGACACCCUGCCAUGAUUUGCUGCUUCACAAGAAGCCCAAAGCAGCAUAGCCAACCAAUCAUGACUGAAACCUCCAAAGUUGUGAGC
ensembl:lncRNA